GGAGCGGUGGUGGUUCUGUGUGUACGGGGAAUAGAAGUGAGAAUAAAGAUCAGAAAAUACAGAAAAAUCCGAGUGUUUCAAUUCUACAAAAUUGGCGACGAGGAUAAACUGACAAGAUGGAAGAGAGUCGUCCAAUACCUCAAUUUAGAUGCGAUGACAUAGAUAAAAGCAAACUACACAAAGAGUGGAGAAUUUGGAAAGGGGCGCUAGAAUGCUUCUUUGACGCAUAUGAUGUGGUGGAUCAGAAGAAGAAAAGGGCUAAGCUUUUGCACUUGGGUGGACCUCAGCUGCAACGCGUGUUCCAGAACCUUCCAGAUCGUGAGAAGUUUCCACUAGUGUCCACGGAAAAGCAGUGGUAUGACGUCGCGAUAAAUGCGUUGGAUGGAUUCUUCCAACCCUGUAAACAAGACUGCCUUGAGAGACACAGAUUGAGAAACAUGAAACAAAAGGAAGGGGAAAGGUUCGCUGACUUUAUACUUCGUCUUCGCCAGCAAGCUUCCGAUUGUGGUUUCGACAAAUAUUCAGAUGAAAUCCGAGAUGUCCUAACCGAAAUUUUUAUUACUGACGUCAUUAUAGAAGGUUGUUUGUCAACUGAACUUCGACGACGUAUUCUUCAGCAGGAUCGCACGUUAAUUUAAAUCGAAUCACUUGGGGCAGCCCUCGAAGGCAUUGAUAAUCAAGUACAGGAUCUGAGAGGCAAGGCGAAGGAUACUAAUGAUCAUAAGGUUCUCAAAAUCAGCAGUAGACCCGUAUCCACAUUCAACAAGCGAAACAUUCAUCCCCCAAAAAAGUUCACUGGAAAAAAGCCUUUUUCAUCUGAUCAAAGGAUCCAAGCUUGCCUUAAUUGCGGGCACCGAGAUCACCAAACUCUUGAUAAUGUAUGUCCAGCCAAAGGCAAGCUUUGUUAUUCCUGUAAACGAGUUGGUCAUUUCGGAUCGCGUUGCAGAGUGCGGAAGUUCCAUGGGAAGACUUAUAUUCCAGAUAACGAUUGAACAUGAUGAUCCUACAUCGAGUUCAAAAUCAUUGGACGCUGCAGACGAUACUGAUGCAGGGAAAACCUAUUAUGCAUUUUACUCUGGGAACGAAACGAACGUUGUCGAAUGUAAAAUCGGUGGAGUCAAAUUGGACUUGCUGAUUGAUUCUGGAUCGGAUGCAAACCUCAUCACAGAUGAAGCCCGGGAAACGCUGAAACGAGCUAAAGUGGUAGUUUACAGCAGCACAAAAGGAAGCUCAAGGAUUCUGAAAGGAUACGCCAGUGAUCGUCCGCUUCCGAUAAUUGGGACGUUUGUUGCAAAUGUGGAAGUGGGAAAACUGUCAGUACGAGCAUUAUUCUACGUCAUC